rnacentral:rRNA from 1 species
AGAGUUUGAUCCUGGCUCAGGACGAACGCUGGCGGCGUGCCUAAUACAUGCAAGUAGAACGCUGAAGAGAGGAGCUUGCUCUUCUUGGAUGAGUUGCGAACGGGUGAGUAACGCGUAGGUAACCUGCCUUGUAGCGGGGGAUAACUAUUGGAAACGAUAGCUAAUACCGCAUAACAAUGGAUGACCCAUGUCAUUUAUUUGAAAGGGGCAAAUGCUCCACUACAAGAUGGACCUGCGUUGUAUUAGCUAGUAGGUGAGGUAACGGCUCACCUAGGCGACGAUACAUAGCCGACCUGAGAGGGUGAUCGGCCACACUGGGACUGAGACACGGCCCAGACUCCUACGGGAGGCAGCAGUAGGGAAUCUUCGGCAAUGGGGGCAACCCUGACCGAGCAACGCCGCGUGAGUGAAGAAGGUUUUCGGAUCGUAAAGCUCUGUUGUAAGUCAAGAACGAGUGUGAGAGUGGAAAGUUCACACUGUGACGGUAGCUUACCAGAAAGGGACGGCUAACUACGUGCCAGCAGCCGCGGUAAUACGUAGGUCCCGAGCGUUGUCCGGAUUUAUUGGGCGUAAAGCGAGCGCAGGCGGUUUGAUAAGUCUGAAGUUAAAGGCUGUGGCUCAACCAUAGUUCGCUUUGGAAACUGUCAAACUUGAGUGCAGAAGGGGAGAGUGGAAUUCCAUGUGUAGCGGUGAAAUGCGUAGAUAUAUGGAGGAACACCGGUGGCGAAAGCGGCUCUCUGGUCUGUAACUGACGCUGAGGCUCGAAAGCGUGGGGAGCGAACAGGAUUAGAUACCCUGGUAGUCCACGCCGUAAACGAUGAAUGCUAGGUGUAGGAGGUAUCGACCCCUCCUGUGCCGGAGUUAACGCAAUAAGCAUUCCGCCUGGGGAGUACGGCCGCAAGGCUGAAACUCAAAGGAAUUGACGGGGGCCCGCACAAGCGGUGGAGUAUGUGGUUUAAUUCGACGCAACGCGAAGAACCU